rnacentral:misc_RNA from 1 species
GAUGAAGAACGUAGCGAAACGCGAUAAGUAAUAUGAAUUGCAGAAUCCAGUGAAUCAUCGAAUCUUUGAACGCACAUUGCGCCCGCCAGCAUUCUGGCGGGCAUGCCUGUUCGAGCGUCAUUUCAACCCUCGACCUCCCCUUGGGGAGGUCGGCGUUGGGGACCGGCAGCACACCGCCGGCCCUGAAAUGGAGUGGCGGCCCGUCCGCGGCGACCUCUGCGCAGUAAUACAGCUCGCACCGGGACCCCGACGCGGCCACGCCGUAAAACACCCAACUUCUGAACGUUGACCUCGAAUCAGGUAGGACUACCCGCUGAACUUAAGCAUAUCAAUAAGCGGAGGA